ensembl:snRNA U4 U4 spliceosomal RNA
AGCUUUGCACAAUGCCAGUAUCACAGCCAAUAAGAUUUAUCUGAGGCGUGAUUAUUGCUAAUUGAAAACUUUUCCCAGCAUGUCUGUCUGGCUCAUUUGGGGGAACAUGUGACUCUUGAUCUCCCAGUCAUGGG